CGUUGUUAGAAACACACCGUCAUGCUCUGGGUGUGAAGUGUUGUCUACGUGGAUGAAAUUGAAGUAGCACCUUCCAUCCUACUUUUGGGCUAGCUUGUACCCCUGCCACUGCUCCAAAAUAGGAAACAGCAGGUCAAAGUGCAGUGUGUCGCAGAAGUGUUUCCAAGUGUGAAGAGGCGCUGAGCCCCUGGGACACCCACGUCUCUUCCUGUUUCCCUUUCACGUGAAGAAGGGAGACAGAUGUAGAAUAAACGAUGCUAAGCUACUGAAAGCUGAUGACUGCCUGAUUUCAGAAGCUGGUAAUUGGUGAUCACAGCAUUUUUUAAACAUUAGAAAGCAAAGGGUAAAAAAGCUUGGGCUGUC
rnacentral:lncRNA from 1 species